ensembl:lncRNA
GUCAGUGAAGGGUGGAGGGCAUGUGCGUCUGUGCUUGUGUGUGCACGUGCUGCUGGUCUUGUGGGACCACACAGCCUCUCAGAGGAGCUGCCAUCCAGUGGCCGAGUCAGGGCAGCUGCAGCCAGCAGGAGGAGCUGAUGGGCAUCAUUGCUGCCCAAGGCCUCCAGGGCCACUUAAUCCUACAACCCCCGAGCCUUCGAGCUGGGUUGGUUAACCUUGCUUUGAAGAAAAUGCAUUAUAUCUCAGGCCUGGGGUCAGGAGGCUACUGGGAGAAGACCCUGGUCUCUGAGCCACCUGAAGGUGCCCUUUGCCCAGAUGGGGUAGGAGAGACGUUCCCAGUGGUCCUGCAUCAGGGCCCAGGCUCCCCUCCCAGAGCGUGUGACCAGCAAGGGGCCCCUGCAAGAGUACUGGAGUGGGUUUCUAUUUCCUUCUCCAAGGGAUCUUCCUGACCCAGGGAUCGAACCCGGAUCUCCCACAUUGCAGGGGCUCAUCCUUUGUCGUGAGCCUUGUUCUCACGGCCUGCCUGAAGUCCGACGCCCAGAGGCUGGCGGAAGCUGCUGGGUCCACGGCUGCCGAAGGAGGAGCUGGAACGUGAACGCCGGCAGAACUUUGCCCAUGUCUGAGAUUUCUAGAACCUUCUUCCCCCUGCAGGCUUUUGUGCCUUCUGCCCCUUUUGCCUCCCGGCCCUUUGUUUAGUGACUUCCUGCCGGUCCUCGGGUGACCCUUGGACACACUGGGGUGCGCCCCCUGCCGGGGCUGGGACCCUUUUCUGCCUUCCCCAGCCUGUUCUCCGUACCCUAGACUGCGGAGUCUUGGGGCUCGUCACCUCUGUGUCCCCCAACACCAUGCACAGUGGCUCCCCCAGAG